GAAGUAUUCGUGUCGCCGUUCUUUGAGUCCUCUGCAGAAUAGUAUGCAAUAUU
rnacentral:sRNA from 1 species